GUUGAUGUAGUUCAGUGGUUAAAGUGUUUACCUAGCAUGGACAAGGCUCUGUGUUUCAUUCCCAGCAUCAAAA
rnacentral:tRNA from 1 species